UACGGAGGGUGCGAGCGUUGUCCGGAAUCAUUGGGCGUAAAGCGCGUGUAGGCGGCUCGGUAAGUCCGCUCUGAAAGUCCAGGGCUCAACCCUGGGAUGCGGGUGGAUACUGCCGAGCUCGAGUCCGGAAGAGGCGAGUGGAAUUCCUGGUGUAGCGGUGAAAUGCGCAGAUAUCAGGAGGAACACCAAUGGCGAAGGCAGCUCGCUGGGACGUGACUGACGCUGAGACGCGAAAAGCGUGGGGGAGCAAACAGG
rnacentral:rRNA from 1 species